rnacentral:rRNA from 1 species
GAUGAACGCUGGCGGCGUGCCUAAUACAUGCAAGUCGAGCGAACAGACGAGGAGCUUGCUCCUCUGACGUUAGCGGCGGACGGGUGAGUAACACGUGGAUAACCUACCUAUAAGACUGGGAUAACUUCGAGAAACCGGAGCUAAUACCGGAUAAUAUAUUGAACCGCAUGGUUCAAUAGUGAAAGACGGUUUUGCUGUCACUUAUAGAUGGAUCCGCGCCGCAUUAGCUAGUUGGUAAGGUAACGGCUUACCAAGGCGACGAUGCGUAGCCGACCUGAGAGGGUGAUCGGCCACACUGGAACUGAGACACGGUCCUGACUCCUACGGGAGGCAGCAGUAGGGAAUCUUCCGCAAUGGGCGAAAGCCUGACGGAGCAACGCCGCGUGAGUGAUGAAGGUCUUCGGAUCGUAAAACUCUGUUAUUAGGGAAGAACAAAUGUGUAAGUAACUAUGCACGUCUUGACGGUACCUAAUCAGAAAGCCACGGCUAACUACGUG